AGGUCAUUUCAAAGAGGGCUUGGAGAUUGUGAAAUGAAGAAGUCUUAACAGUAUAACCAAAGACUCAAGUUCUCAACAGUUCCAUGUUUUCCUCAGGAGAUACGACU
rnacentral:snoRNA from 1 species